UACGGAGGGUGCAAGCGUUGUCCGGAAUCACUGGGCGUAAAGGGCGCGUAGGCGGCUCAUGAAGGCUGUGGUGAAAGUCCGGGGCUCAACCUCGGAUCGGCCGUGGCGACUCGUGGGCUGGAGCGCUGUAGAGGCGGGUGGAAUUCCGGGUGUAGCGGUGGAAUGCGUAGAGAUCCGGAAGAACACCAGUGGCGAAGGCGGCCCGCUGGGCAGUGGCUGACGCUGAGGCGCGACAGCGUGGGGAGCGAACAGG
rnacentral:rRNA from 1 species